UACGUAGGUUGCGAGCGUUGUCCGGAUUUACUGGGCGUAAAGCGCGCGCAGGCGGUCCUGCAAGUCCACGGUGAAAGCUCCCGGCCCAACUGGGAGAGGCCCGUGGAAACUGCAGGACUUGAAGGCGGGAGAGGCAAAUGGAAUUUCCGGUGUAGCGGUAAAAUGCGUAGAUACCGGAAGGAACACCAGUGGCGAAAGCGAUUUGCUGGCCCGCCCUUGACGCUCAGGCGCGAAAGCUAGGGGAGCGACCGGG
rnacentral:rRNA from 1 species